CUUGUACUCCCUUUGUCCAAAAAUAUUUGUCAUUGAAAUGAAUGUAUCUAGAUGUAUUUUAGUUCUAGACACAUCCAUUUUGAUGACAAGUAAUUCCGAACGGAGGGAGUACUUG
rfam:Triticum aestivum genome assembly, contig: Triticum_aestivum_CS42_TGACv1_scaffold_114664_2AS